rnacentral:misc_RNA from 1 species
GGUGACAAACAUAACGCUCCUAUCCCUAUUCCUUAAAUCUCUUUCGUCCUUCCUCAGAACUAAAUUGAGAGACUCGCGAGUGUUGCCUAUAACCAUCAUCUCUUUCUCCCAUUCCUCUUGCUGGCAUUCUCUUUCUUUCUUCUAUUUGAUGUCUAGCAUCUAGGAAGAAUCCAUCUUUAUCCCAGGUCACGUCAUAAUCAGCUUUGAGUCGUGAUCCUUGCUUUUGCAAUGAACGACCACACAGAAUCUUCAAAGCGUCAUAGAAGUCCUUGUGCUUCUCGAACCGCACUACAAUCUUACAAUGAAGACCAGAAACUAUGUCUUC